UACGUAGGGGGCGAGCGUUGUCCGAAUUUACUGGGCGUAAAGCGCGCGUAGGCGGGGGGUUAAGUGAGAGGUGAAAGGCUGGGGCUCAACCUCAGUAGUGCCUCUCAUACUGGCCUUCUUGAGGGCGGUAGGGAGAAGUGGAAUGGCUGGUGUAGCGGUGAAAUGCGUAGAUAUCAGAAGGAACACCUGUGGCGAAAGCGGCUCACUGGACCAUUACUGACGCUGAUGUACGAAAGCUAGGGGAGCAAACAGG
rnacentral:rRNA from 1 species